rnacentral:tRNA from 1 species
ACUUAUGUAGCUUAACUAAAAGCAUUACAUUGAAGCUGUAAAUAUGACUUAUGUCCGUAAGUA